UACGCAGGGUGCAAGCGUUAAUCGGAAUUACUGGGCGUAAAGCGUGCGCAGGCGGUUAUGUAAGACAGAUGUGAAAUGCCCGGGCUUAACCUGGGAACUGCAUUUGUGACUGCAUGGCUAGAGUUUGGCAGAGGGGGGUAGAAUUCCACGUGUAGCAGUGAAAUGCGUAGAUAUGUGGAGGAACACCGAUGGCGAAGGCAGCCCCCUGGGUCAAGACUGACGCUCAUGCACGAAAGCGUGGGGAGCAAACAGG
rnacentral:rRNA from 1 species